AACACGAUGCGUAGGAUACCUAUGUGCUGGUGCAGUGGAGGCUGCACGUGUCGGUUGCUAUGGUCACGUCUGGUGCAUGUGGGGCAAUGAAUUUGGGUGUAGGAAUCGUGUAUGGAGCCUAGGUUCUCCAAAAAUCUUGGACAAGUUGCAAUGAGGGGUAACGGAUCUAGGUGUCGUUGGAGGGUGCUUGGAGGUCAUUUGUCGGGGUGCUUGUGUGUCGCUCCUUGAGCGCUGGCGUUCGAUACAUCACCGGAAUCAAGAUGACUCAUGACGCUCUUGAACAGCGGUUCGUAAAAUAGCUGAUAUCGUGAUGCAGAGCAUAGGUACAGGCCCCAGGCUUUUCCGUUCUUGAUGUGGAGCGUGCUCGAAUCGCGCAUGCUUCGAGUUUUCUGUCUUUCUGGUUCAUGACGGCGCAUGUGUUGCUGGAAGAACGACGAACAAAACUGGACGUCAUGUCUCGGCAAUUUGUUCACCAGCUCAUAUCGAUCGUUCACUGAACGUGUCUCGUCGAAUCAUCGAUGCCUUUUCGAGCCACACCUGCUUGGAUCCUCGUACAUAUCCACGGACGACAUUCCGCAGCAGCGUGGCAUUUCUGACGCGGGGCGCUUCUGGAGGCCCCCGUCUGCUCGGUAGACAUCUGGAAUAGGUCAAGGACGCGCGCUUGAGUCAUCGAAGCGACUGCUUCUGGUGGAGCGCAAGUCACCACCACCAUCCACGAAAAAGGCGUAGACGGAUCGAGAAAUCUCGAUCUCGUGUCUAGCCUGGAUUCUCCUUGCGCGGCUUGUUUCAUCAUGGGAAACACCACGUUCCAAAAAGAUUCUUUAUCAAAUGGAACAUCGUGCUUUUGCGUGUGCCGCUUACAGGUUACGCAUCGAAGGCAUCGCCCGGAACAAGCCAGGAAUUGCCGUGGAAGGCACCAGAGGCGCCAACGAAUGAAGACACCAACCAGAGCCCUCUGUAGCCGUCAAAGGCAUGUACCGGGAUGUGAAGCAAGCGUUCACCUGCCAUAGGACGACGCUCGGAGGAGCAGAAGGUGCGGUUUAUGUAUUAGAACAUCUGACCAGCGUCAAGUGUUUUCGCUGCGAAGCGCGCUCCGAGGCUAUCUAUAUCGAAGAUGCAUAUUGCAAGCGACGCGUAGAUUGGAACUACUGCUUCUGCAUGAAAUGCGUCGACAGCAUCCAUACGCGGCGAAUUCGGGACUGGAACGUAUCCAUCAAUACCCUUCGACUGAUGAUAAGGGGGCCGGAGGCACGCGAGAGACAGGCGUCUGGAAAGCCGAUGAAUCGAGAGAGACGAAAACGUAGCAUUUGCACAAGAAUUCCGCAGCGGCUGGUAUCGGAGACAGUGGCAGGAGUCCCAAACCUUACAGUGCGCACCUGCGUUACGAGGCCCAUUCCGUCGGAAGCUCAGGCUGGUCUGGGCGCGUGCACCAUGAUGAUGAUGACGACGACGCGCUGGUUGCCACAAUGAUGUUGCUCUGGACAUUUCAGCUACAGAAAAACGUGCAAAACCUGAUAACCAGCCACAGAUGCAUGGACACGAGUCAAGGCUCUCGAAUCUUGCUUGCCAUAUCAAUGUCUGCGAAAAGCUUGUACGAACACCGCAUCUCCCGGGGCGAAGGAGUUCGAGCGCUGCACAUGUCCUCGACUGGCCGGGAGGCAUGCUGCAGGCUCGCGACACCCAGACGAUAGCUGCUGCUGCUGCUACUGCAUGCGUUCUCGGGAACAUCUUGUAGGUAUAUUUCAGCGCGAAACGCAUGCGUCGACGCUCACACCACCUCCCUGUACAAGAGCAGAGCACUUUGACGAAUAAGUUUCACAGCGUACCGAGGCCUUGUCCGGCGAAUCGACUCGAAAAGCGCGCUUGUUUGCUCUUGCCCCGCAUCGGAUCGCGAGUUAUCCAAGGUUCCGAUUCUUCAUGUUCGAAAGCGCUGCGCCUCUGCAUGAGUUACUCGGGAAAAUAGAUGACUUUAUACGGCAAACAGCGUCAGCAUUUGAUUUGUCUAGGACGAGGUCUGCAAACGACACCUGCGUGGAUGUCACUGCAAGCGCAGCGUUACAAACCUCAACAGCUUCUGGUACCGGCAAGUGAGCGCCCCAGGGCCAACACAGCUGGUUCACGGCUCUCGUUAUCCAAGCAUACAGCAGGACGCUUCCGCCCCACACGAGUGAUUGCAUGCAAAGUACAGCACAGUCACGAUGAAGGCACACUCGUUGCGCUACUGCUUGCGAGAGCACACGGCAGCAGGGCCAACCGUCACGUAGAACACCCACGCUUGAUCAAGGAAGAGCACGCCGCAUCGCUCGUGAAACCGGCAUCCGCUACAGAAACACCCCAGAAAGAAAAGUUAUUCUAUUCACUGAAACGGAUCGGAUAAAGGUACGCCAUCCGAUCAGUGCACAAGCCAGCGUAGCGCAGCCUGGUAUGCAGUUGGCCCGCAACGCGUUACGCAUCUGCAAGGCGCAUACCUGUCCGUCAAGGAAAAGAACACGCAGCAGCUUGUAUAGCACUAGCGCAGAAUCACCAGGAUCCAGACCGUAACAGGCAGCGUUAAACGUAGCACAGCACCGCGUGAUGAAAGCAAAGCAUCCACCACAGCUUCCGGUUUGCACAGCACAGGUGGUAUUGCCGCUUCUGCGAAGACGCCCAGUGCGUCUGUUCGCUGCCGCAGCUUCAGUGCGUCGCUAUCCAGCACAGCGACGCUCAUCUGACUCCUGCAAAAGACAACAGCAAGCCGAGGUGACAUCGGGAACACCUCCCGCCGGCGCUCGUAUUACUGUUAAUUCGUUAUGCUGUCCUGCAAAACACCAACCAGUUGCAAGAGGCACACGCCAGACGUCCCACUGCCACUAGUCAUCAGCGUUCUACUGGGUCCGAGUGUCACCUGCUCAGGCACGUGUGCUUGCAACCCUGUCAUUUUCAGAUCUUUAGUACCGUACCACUAGUCAUCAGCGUUCUACUGGGUCCGAAUGUCACCUGCUCAGGCACGUGUGCUUGCAACCCUGUCAUUUUCAGAUCUUUAGUAACGUACCACUAGACAUCAGCGUUCUACUGGGUCCGAGUGUCACCUGCUCAGGCACGUGUGCUUGCAACCCUGUCAUUUUCAGAUCUUUGGUACCGUACCACUAGUCAUCAGCGUUCUACUGGGUCCGAGUGUCACCUGCUCAGGCACGUGUGCUUGCAACCCUGUCAUUUUCAGAUCUUUGGUAACGUACCACUAG